AAGUCGAACGAACUCUGGUAUUGAUUGGUGCUUGCAGUCAUGAUUUACAUUUGAGUGAGUGGCGAACUGGUGAGUAACACGUGGGAAACCUGCCCAGAAGCGGGGGAUAACACCUGGAAACAGAUGCUAAUACCGCAUAACAACUUGGACCGCAUGGUCCGAGUUUGAAAGAUGGCUUCGGCUAUCACUUUUGGAUGGUCCCGCGGCGUAUUAGCUAGAUGGUGGGGUAACGGCUCACCAUGGCAAUGAUACGUAGCCGACCUGAGAGGGUAAUCGGCCACAUUGGGACUGAGACACGGCCCAAACUCCUACGGGAGGCAGCAGUAGGGAAUCUUCCACAAUGGACGAAAGUCUGAUGGAGCAACGCCGCGUGAGUGAAGAAGGGUUUCGGCUCGUAAAACUCUGUUGUUAAAGAAGAACAUAUCUGAGAGUAACUGUUCAGGUAUUGACGGUAUUUAACCAGAAAGCCACGGCUAACUACGUGCCAGCAGCCGCGGUAAUACGUAGGUGGCAAGCGUUGUCCGGAUUUAUUGGGCGUAAAGCGAGCGCAGGCGGUUUUUUAAGUCUGAUGUGAAAGCCUUCGGCUCAACCGAAGAAGUGCAUCGGAAACUGGGAAACUUGAGUGCAGAAGAGGACAGUGGAACUCCAUGUGUAGCGGUGAAAUGCGUAGAUAUAUGGAAGAACACCAGUGGCGAAGGCGGCUGUCUGGUCUGUAACUGACGCUGAGGCUCGAAAGUAUGGGUAGCAAACAGGAUUAGAUACCCUGGUAGUCCAUACCGUAAACGAUGAAUGCUAAGUGUUGGAGGGUUUCCGCCCUUCAGUGCUGCAGCUAACGCAUUAAGCAUUCCGCCUGGGGAGUACGGCCGCAAGGCUGAAACUCAAAGGAAUUGACGGGGGCCCGCACAAGCGGUGGAGCAUGUGGUUUAAUUCGAAGCUACGCGAAGAACCUUACCAGGUCUUGACAUACUAUGCAAAUCUAAGAGAUUAGACGUUCCCUUCGGGGACAUGGAUACAGGUGGUGCAUGGUUGUCGUCAGCUCGUGUCGUGAGAUGUUGGGUUAAGUCCCGCAACGAGCGCAACCCUUAUUAUCAGUUGCCAGCAUUAAGUUGGGCACUCUGGUGAGACUGCCGGUGACAAACCGGAGGAAGGUGGGGAUGACGUCAAAUCAUCAUGCCCCUUAUGACCUGGGCUACACACGUGCUACAAUGGAUGGUACAACGAGUUGCGAACUCGCGAGAGUAAGCUAAUCUCUUAAAGCCAUUCUCAGUUCGGAUUGUAGGCUGCAACUCGCCUACAUGAAGUCGGAAUCGCUAGUAAUCGCGGAUCAGCAUGCCGCGGUGAAUACGUUCCCGGGCCUUGUACACACCGCCCGUCACACCAUGAGAGUUUGUAACACCCAAAGUCGGUGGGGUAACCUUUUAGGAACCA
rnacentral:rRNA from 1 species